rnacentral:rRNA from 1 species
GACAGCAGCAGCCACGGGAAAACGGAGGGAGCUAGCGUUAUUCGGAAUUACUGGGCGUAAAGCGCACGUAGGCGGCUUUGUAAGUUAGAGGUGAAAGCCUGGAGCUCAACUCCAGAAUUGCCUUUAAGACUGCAUCGCUUGAAUCCAGGAGAGGUGAGUGGAAUUCCGAGUGUAGAGGUGAAAUUCGUAGAUAUUCGGAAGAACACCAGUGGCGAAGGCGGCUCACUGGACUGGUAUUGACGCUGAGGUGCGAAAGCGUGGGGAGCAAACAGGAUUAGAUACCCCUGUAGUCCCUGUCUCUUAUAC